rnacentral:lncRNA from 1 species
GACUUGUUGAAGCAACUUUUGGUAGCCUUUAUCUGAUGAGCCACCAUCCAAAUUUUGUCGGUGAAGUCUGCUUCAACAGAGAAAAUGGCAGCUGCUACUUCCACGACGCCUUUCCGACUAAAGGCAUCAGCAACCUAGUUAUGGCUAGGUUUAUGCUCCCACUCCAAGUCAUAUUCAGUCAAGAACUCCUGCCAUCAAGCCUGUCUAAAAGACAGCUUUUUCUGCGUCAAGAAAAAUAUGUUAGCCACAUUAUCAGUUUUCACCAUGAACCU